CAUCUUAUCACAGUCUCUUUGUGAGACGCAAAUAGCACACUAAUGUUUUCUUUUGUUAGGGUGAGUUGGCAAUCUCCUCAGAGAUGGAGCAACUACAGACAGCUCUUUUUUUUGAUAAUCUUCCUGACACUUGGAUGAGACUGGCUUAUCCAUCAACAUACAGUUGCUCAGUGGAGCCUCCUGAGUAAGGCAAAGAGCCACUGACUGAUGGAGUGAACGAGGACUGGAGAGCUGACCAAAGGACAGGAAAGCUCUGCCAAGCACAAAGACAGGUAGCACUAGAAGGCAAAACAAGCCCACUCUUCUGAGAUCAGUACAGACUUCUGAGAGAUCAAAAGUGGAAGAAGAAAUCUUGUUCAUCAGAAGACACAUUGAGAAGAGCAUCAGAGGUGAGAAAGGGAUAGCUGUCAACAGGAUGUGGAUGAAAGCACCAGUAACUCAUUUGGAAAAGAUCUAGCACCAGAAUAAAUGUACAACAGCUUACCAGGCUGAGAGAGGACAGGAUCUGCUGGUCUGAACGAUGGUUUGAUCUGUUACGAUGGGAGUGAAGUCUUCAGUUUGAAAAAUAUUAUUCUGCUUCCUGGGUCUGCAAAAGACAGGACCAGACUGCAAGGGAAAGCCUGGAGAGGAUUUCCAUGCUUUAAAAAGAGAAACAGGGGAAGACUGAAUUUCUUGAGGUCACUGAGGAAACGCAUGGCAGCGCUAGGAAAAGAAGCACUCGAGCAGCCGAGAUACCAUCUUCACAGCCAAAACCAGAUGGGUUUUCUCUGCAGUAUGACAUAACAGCAAAGACAGAGCAGGUCUGUGGAUUUUGUGGCAAUGAAGUUAAAUAAGGUUAAUUUCUGGGUGGUUGAGAGAUGUUUUUGUAAUUGCAUCACGGCAAAAG
rnacentral:lncRNA from 1 species